rnacentral:rRNA from 1 species
GACGAACGCUGGCGGCGUGCCUAAUACAUGCAAGUAGAACGCAGUUGCGAACGGGUGAGUAACGCGUAGGUAACUGCCUCAUAGCGGGGGAUAACUAUUGGAAACGAUAGCUAAUACCCCAUACUGUGAGAUGGACCUGCGUUGUAUUAGCUAGUUGGUGAGGUAAAGGCUCACCACGGCGACGAUACAUAGCCGACCUGAGAGGGUGAGCGGCCAACCUGGGAAUGUAACACGGACCAGACUCCUACGGGAGGCAGCAGUAAGGAAGCUUCGGCCAUGGACGGAAGGCUGACCGAGCAACGCCGCGUGAGUGAAGACGGUUUUCCGAUCGUAAAGCUCUGUUCUUAGAGAAUCGGUAACUAACCAGAAAGGGACGGCUAACUACGUGCCAGCAGCCGCGGUAAUUC